rnacentral:rRNA from 1 species
CCUACGGGUGGCAGCAGUGGGGAAUAUUGCACAAUGGGGGAAACCCUGAUGCAGCGACGCCGCGUGAGUGAAGAAGUAUUUCUGUAUGUAAAGCUCUAUCAGCAGGGAAGAAGAAAGACGGUACCUGACUAAGAAGCCCCUGCUAACUACGGGCCAGCAGCCGCGGUAAUACGUAGGGGGCAAGCGUUAUCCGGAUUUACUGGGUGUAAAGGGAGCGUAGGCGGCUGUGCAAGGCUGAAGUGAAAGCCCAGGGCUUAAACCUGGGACUGCUGGGGAAACUGUGGAUCUUGAGUGCUGGAGAGGUAAGUGGAAUGCCUGGUGUAGCGGUGAAAUGCGUAGAUAGUAGGAGGAACACCAGUGGCGAAGGCGGCUUACUGGACAGUAACUGACGUUGAGGCUCGAAAGCGUGGGGAGCAAACAGGAUUAGAUACCCUUGUAGUC